rnacentral:tRNA from 1 species
GGUGCGGUGGUGAAGCGGUAACACGCCUGUCUGCAGAACAGGUAUUCGUCGGUUCGAAUCCGAUCCGCACCU